rnacentral:rRNA from 1 species
UACGAAGGGGGCUAGCGUUGCUCGGAAUUACUGGGCGUAAAGCGUGUGUAGGCGGCUUUGCAAGUCGGAUGUGAAAUCCCCGGGCUCAACCCGGGAAGUGCACCCGAAACUGCAGGGCUCGAGUACCGGAGAGGUUGGUGGAAUUCUCGGUGUAGAGGUGAAAUUCGUAGAUAUCGAGAGGAACACCGGUGGCGAAGGCGGCCAACUGGACGAGUACUGACGCUGAGACACGAAAGCGUGGGGAGCAAACAGG